UAGAGGGUGAAAGUCCCGUACAUGUAAGCUUAUAAUUGAUAGGAGUAUCCUGAGUAGGGCGGGACCGGUGAAAUCCUGUCUGAAUCUGGCGGCACCAUCCGCUAAGGCUAAAUACUUCUGAGAGACCGAUAGUGAACCAGUACCGUGAGGGAAAGGUGAAAAGAACCCCAAGAAGGGGAGUGAAAAGAACCUGAAACCGUGCGCCUACAAGCGGUCGGAGUCCUUCGGGAUGACGGCGUGCCUUUUGCAUAAUGAGCCUACGAGUUACUCCUGACUAGCAAGUUUAAGGUUUUAAGGACUGUAAGCGAAGCGAAAGCGAGUCUGAAUAGGGCGAUAGCUAGUUGGGGUAGACGCGAAACCGAGUGAUCUACCCAUGGGCAGGUUGAAGGAUGGAUAGUCUCUGUCUGGAGGACCGAACCAGUACAUGUUGAAAAAUGUUUGGAUGACCUGUGGGUAGGGGUGAAAGGCCAAUCAAACUCGGAGAUAGCUCGUACUCCCCGAAAUGCAUUUAGGUGCAGCGUUGUGAAGAGUAUCAUGGAGGUAGAGCUACCAAUAGGGCUAGGGGGCUUCACCGCCUACCAACCCCUGAUGAACUCCGAAUGCCAUGAUAUUGCAACAGCAGUGAGGGCGCGGGUGCUAAGGUCCGCGUCCGAGAGGGGAACAACCCAGACCAUCAGCUAAGGUCCCGAAGUACUAACUAAGUUGAAUGAACGAGGUGGGGAUGCUAAGACAGCUAGGAUGUUGGCUUGGAAGCAGCCAUUCAUUUAAAGAGUGCGUAACAGCUCACUAGUCGAGCGUUCCUGCGCGGAAAAUAAUCGGGCAUCAAGUUAGUCACCGAAGCUAUGGACUCUACGGAGUGGUAGGGGAGCAUUCCAGUUGCGCAGAAGUUUUGCUGUGAGGCAAGGUGGAGCG
rnacentral:rRNA from 2 species